AUUGAACGCUGGCGGCAUGCCUUACACAUGCAAGUCGAACGGUAACAGGUCUUUCGGGAUGCUGACGAGUGGCGAACGGGUGAGUAAUACAUCGGAACGUGCCUAGUAGUGGGGGAUAACUACUCGAAAGAGUGGCUAAUACCGCAUGAGAUCUACGAAUGAAAGCAGGGGACCUUCGGGCCUUGUGCUACUAGAGCGGCCGAUGGCAGAUUAGGUAGUUGGUGGGAUAAAAGCUUACCAAGCCUACGAUCUGUAGCUGGUCUGAGAGGACGAUCAGCCACACUGGGACUGAGACACGGCCCAGACUCCUACGGGAGGCAGCAGUGGGGAAUUUUGGACAAUGGGCGCAAGCCUGAUCCAGCAAUGCCGCGUGCAGGAUGAAGGCCUUCGGGUUGUAAACUGCUUUUGUACGGAACGAAAAGUCUUGGGUUAAUACCCUGGGAUCAUGACGGUACCGUAAGAAUAAGCACCGGCUAACUACGUGCCAGCAGCCGCAGUAAGAC
rnacentral:rRNA from 1 species